GGGCUAGUGGCGCAAUGGAUAACGCGUCUGACUACGAAUCAGGAGAUUCCUGGUUCGACUCCUGGCUAGCUCG
rfam:Gasterosteus aculeatus cont1.000669, whole genome shotgun sequence.